rnacentral:rRNA from 1 species
CUACGGGGUGCAGCAGUGGGGAAUAUUGGACAAUGGGGGAAACCCUGAUCCAGCAAUGCCGCGUGUGUGAAGAAGGCCUGCGGGUUGUAAAGCACUUUCGGUUGGGAGGACUGCUUCUAGCACUAAUAUUGUUGGAAGUUGACGUUACCUUCAGAAGAAGCGCCGGCUAACUCCGUGCCAGCAGCCGCGGUCAUACGGAGGGUGCAAGCGUUAAUCGGAAUUACUGGGCGUAAAGCGCGCGUAGGCGGCUAGAUCAGUCGGGUGUGAAAGCCCCGGGCUUAACCUGGGAACUGCAUCCGAUACUGUCUAGCUUGAGUACAGGAGAGGAGAGUGGAAUUCCACAUGUAGCGGUGAAAUGCGUAGAUAUGUGGAGGAACACCAAUGGCGAAGGCAGCUCUCUGGCCUGAUACUGACGCUGAGGUGCGAAAGCGUGGGGAGCAAACAGGAUUAGAUACCCCAGUAGUC